rnacentral:rRNA from 1 species
UCGACGGUGAAGCUCCGCUUGCUGGAGUGGAUCAGUGGCGAACGGGUGAGUAACACGUGAGCAACCUGCCCCUGACUCUGGAAUAAGCGCUGGAAACGGCGUCUAAUACUGGAUACGAGAAGGGUCCGCAUGGGCACUUUCUGGAAAGUUUUUCGGUUGGGGAUGGGCUCGCGGCCUAUCAGCUUGUUGGUGAGGUAAUGGCUCACCAAGGCGACGACGGGUAGCCGGCCUGAGAGGGCGACCGGCCACACUGGGACUGAGACACGGCCCAGACUCCUACGGGAGGCAGCAGUGGGGAAUAUUGCACAAUGGGCGAAAGCCUGAUGCAGCGACGCCGCGUGAGGGAUGACGGCCUUCGGGUUGUAAACCUCUUUCAGCAGGGAAGAAGCGAAAGUGACGGUACCUGCAGAAGAAGCACCGGCUAACUACGUGCCAGCAGCCGCGGUAAUACGUAGGGUGCGAGCGUUGUCCGGAAUUAUUGGGCGUAAAGAGCUUGUAGGCGGUUUGUCGCGUCUGCUGUGAAAAUCCGGGGCUCAACCCCGGACUUGCAGUGGGUACAGGCAGACUAGAGUGUGGUAAGGGAGACUGGAAUUCCUGGUGUAGCGGUGAAAUGCGCAGAUAUCAGGAGGAACACCGAUGGCGAAGGCAGGUCUCUGGGCCACUACUGACGCUGAGAAGCGAAAGCAUGGGGAGCGAACAGGAUUAGAUACCCUGGUAGUCCAUGCCGUAAACGUUGGGCGCUAGGUGUGGGACUCAUUCCACGAGUUCCGUGCCGCAGCUAACGCAUUAAGCGCCCCGCCUGGGGAGUACGGCCGCAAGGCUAAAACUCAAAGGAAUUGACGGGGGCCCGCACAAGCGGCGGAGCAUGCGGAUUAAUUCGAUGCAACGCGAAGAACCUUACCAAGGCUUGACAUAUACCGGAAACUUCCAGAGAUGGUUGCCCCCUUUGGGUCGGUAUACAGGUGGGUGCAUGGGUUGUCGUCAGCUCCGGGUCGUGAGAUGUUGGGGUUAAGUCCCCGCAACGAACCGC